AGAGUUUGAUCCUGGCUCAGGACGAACGCUGGCGGCGUGCUUAACACAUGCAAGUCGAACGAUGAAAGCGGGAGCUUGCUCCUGCGGGAUUAGUGGCGAAGGGGUGAGUAACACGUGAGCAAUCUGCCCCUGACUCUGGAAUAAGCGUUGGAAACAACGUCUAAUACCGGAUACGAGCUGGGACCGCGUGGUAACCAGAUGGAAAGAACUUCGGUCAGGAAUGAGCUCGCGGCCUAUCAGCUCGUUGGUGAGGUAAUGGCUCGACAAGGCUGAGCACGGGAAGCACGGCCUGAGAGGGUGACCGGCCACACUGGGAGUGAUACACGGCCCAGACUCCUACCGGAGGCAUCAUUGGGGAAUAUUGAAGAUUGGGCGCAAGCCGGAUGCAUCACCCCCGCGUGAGGGAUGACGGCCGUUCGGUUGUAAACCUCUUUUAGCAGGAAAGAAGCGAACGUGACGAUUCUUGCACAAGACGCACCGGCUAUCUACGUGCCACCACCCGCGGGAAUACUACGGGUGCACGCCUUGUCGAGAAUUAUCGUCAGCUAAAAAGCUCAUAGGCGGCUUUGUCACUCCUGCACUGAAAAUCCGAGGCUCAACGUGCCCAUCUGCACUCGGCACGGGCAAAGUAAAAUGGCGUCAGGGGAAAUGGGAAUUCCGAGGUCAGGGGGGGAA
rnacentral:rRNA from 1 species